GGGCGGCGAGCGGCGGACGGGUGAGUAAUGGCUGGGAACCUGCCUGGUAGAGGGGGAUAACCACUGGAAACGGUGGCUAAUACCGCAUGAUGUCUACGGACCAAAGAGGGGGAUCUUCGGACCUCUCGCUACCGGAUGGGCCCAGUUGGGAUUAGCUAGUUGGUGGGGUAAAGGCUCACCAAGGCGACGAUCCCUAGCUGGUUUGAGAGGAUGAUCAGCCACACUGGAACUGAGACACGGUCCAGACUCCUACGGGAGGCAGCAGUGGGGAAUAUUGCACAAUGGGCGCAAGCCUGAUGCAGCCAUGCCGCGUGUGUGAAGAAGGCCUUCGGGUUGUAAAGCACUUUCAGCCGUGAGGAAGGCAUUGUACUUAAUACGUGCAGUGUUUGACGUUAGCGGCAGAAGAAGCACCGGCUAACUCCGUGCCAGCAGCCGCGGUAAUACGGAGGGUGCGAGCGUUAAUCGGAAUUACUGGGCGUAAAGCGCAUGCAGGCGGUCUGUUAAGCAAGAUGUGAAAGCCCCGGGCUUAACCUGGGAACC
rnacentral:rRNA from 1 species